AGGUGUAUUGUGCGAUCGAAUGUGCGCUUAUGCGAGCACCGUAUCCCCUGGCUCCGUCUCCGGUAACUACAUACAACCUAAUUCGUUGUCGUAUUUUUUAUUUUGUUGCUGUGCUGUUGGGUUUUUGCGUUAAACAUUUUUCACAGUCAAACAAAUAUUUAGUGUGUAAAUUAAAGGAGAAAAAAGCGAGCGAGUGGCGCAUUUCGACCAAUAAAUAAAAUAAUAUUCAAAAUGGCCACUGAAUCGCAACAAAUCGUGUGACAAAAUAUUCAAAUAACAACACCGCGAAAAAAAAGUGAAAGAAAGACGAAAUUUUAAGCACGCUCUGGUUUUUCCAACGAGAAAAGAGUGAAGAAAGAAAAAAAAUUAUUUAUGUGAAAUAUUUGGUUGUCGUGGUUGUCGAAAAAAAAGGUGUUUGUGUUGAGAUUUAGAUUGUGUUGCUGCAAAUUGGUCGUCGGUGAAGUCGGAGAGUUCAAUUGUGUGUGUAUGUGCCUCUUUCUCGACAGUACCUAAGCUCAUUAAAAUAAAAACCUUGAGUUGAUUGAUUUCACAACGAUCUUCCAAAAAAGGAUUUUUCUACACCAAAAAGAAAUCUCUCUCUCCUUCUCUCUCUUUCUCUCGUGUUGAAGAAAUCGUGCGACACGAAGUUUCGCGCGCGCGAGCCAACCGAAGAAAAACACACACAGAAUAGAAACAGAAAAAAAAAGAUUUACGAUAAUAAGUGCCAGUGACUUUGACUUGGUGAUUGUUUUGCCCCGCCGUACUCGUCGUCAAUUGUCUGUUGCAUUAUUUAGUUUGAGGCGUUCAGCGAAUUGGCUGAGCUAACGAAUAAGUCCGCACCGCAAAAACGAUGCAACUCCGAAGUGUGAUAAAAAUGAACGAAUAAUUCUCUCUGGCAGUUUUAUCAUUUCUUGUUGUUUUUUCCGUUCAACGGAAUUUUUUUGUGAUAUCAAAAGGGUUUUUAUUUUGGGUGUAUUUUUCUUUUUGUGUCGUGUAAUAAAUUGUCUCUGAAUACAGACAGAGAGAAUAGAAUCGUAUAGACGUAUGAUCGUUCGUAUCGAUCGUUCCACAUUCUCUGUCUCUCGUGUAUGAUAUACGUGUGUUUACCAGCGUUUAAAAUCAUUAUUGUAUCGAUCUAAUUUCGUAUAUUGUGUAUGUGUUGCAAUUCUUCUUCUUAUUUUUCAUUUCGUAUUGCGGCUGAGGCUCUUGCCGCUGAAAAGACAUAAAACUAUAAAAACCACCUCAACGAAACGCGUGAACAUUUAUUCAAACACGUAUCAUAAUUAUUUUAAAAGCGAAUGAUUAACUUAACACAAGCCGUAAACAAAGGCCCAAGACCACGACGAGAGAGAGUCACUAGAAAAAUUAUAGAAAAUUAUUCAUCGCUUUGGGCAUUCGGCACAAGAAAAACAAUUUAUUUAUUUUUUUUUUUCUGUGCGAACGGAACAAGUAACAAGCCAUCAUUUUCGGGAGUUCAGCUGCUUCGGACGGAAUUUUGUGUUUUGUGUUUAAACCGAACUUUGGGAUUGGCAAAUGUGAACAGUCAUUUCAUUGAAUUCUAUGGCCAAGUGAAUUUGUUUUGACGCAUGAUUUGUAAAUAAGAUAACUGGAACGUGAAACAAACAAACAUCAACACAAAGAAUCCGAAAGGAAAUAAAACACGCUGCUGAUUUUGUGAGUAUCAUUAGCGAGUAUCUAUGAAUGUAACCGAUGGCGCGUGGUAUAAUGGCUGAUAAGGGAGAUAAAGUGGUGUCGCCAACAACACCGGAGCACAAUGAAUCAAAAUCACAAACCGCGCCCGAUCCCUCAAAUCAUCAACCUACGGCGCCGUGUUCCUGUACCAAGAUCUCGACAAUGCAAUUGUUCUACGAAAUGAAGCAAAAAUUCCCAACUGUGCCGGACAAUGUGGUGUGUGAAUUUGUCGGACAAAAUUGUCACAAUCGUUCGGCUGUGAUCGAUGGCCUGGAAGACUAUCCAAAUUCGGCGAAUGUUUAUCCACAAGCGUUGCGCAAUCAAUCGACAAAAAAGAAAGCGCAACCGAACAGUGGUGCGGCGACAGCAGCGACGACGGCCAAAUCAAAUGAUGCAACAAAAGAAAAUGAUACAUCAGCCGCAAAUGGUGUCCCAUUGAAGCCACCAAACACUCUAUAUCUGACGAAUUUAAAUUAUUUUACGCGACCAAUAAAUCGGCCAGUGAACCGGCCGACACGACAAGCACCACCACCGCCCAUCGCUGCCGCCACUUCACCACAUCAACAACAUCAGAAAUCUCUAUGCCAUCAACCGCAACUACCACUGAAUCUCUCCGUUAAUUUGAUCGUUUCACCCGUGUCACAAGCCUCAUCACAAUCACAACAACCACUUCCACAUUACAGUUUCACAUUGCAUCAGCCGAGCGGCAACAGAACCGGACACACAACAACAACAAACUAUUCACAUCCCGAAAACGAACUGACCACCACAACGACCGGAACAAUAAACGAUAAUACGGAUGGGCCGCAGUUGAGAUUUAUGAGCAGCGCAUAUGAUGCUGAAAUAGGGUAUCAAAGUCGAUUAGAAGUUACCGUGGCUGGACCAAAUCAACCCAGCGUCGCUGGCAGCUAUGAAUUUUUAAAAGAAACUGAAACCGUAAACCAUCAAGUAUUGUGUAAACAGAAGCUAGUGCUUGAAUUGGAAAAGGAUCGAAAGCGUUUGGAGCGUAUGCAACGUGAAUUGCAGGCCAUUCAAGCACCAAUACCGGACGGUGGACUCGAUGGAUUGAAUUUGGACAUUGACAAAUUGCGACACGAUUGCAAACUAAUGGCUAGCCUAGUGGAAGAAGCGGGUCCUUCAUACGCCUUGGGUGAGACAAAUGAAGCGUUCUAUCGAAAUAUUUAUACGGGACAGCAAUUGCCGAUGCAACAGCGGCAACCAUUGCGACCACAUCGGCCAGCGCCAACACCAUACCAACAGCAUCGUCCCAAAAAUCGUUCAACCGCCGGCACCGAUCCACGCUUCAUCUCAACGUCAACGAUAACACAGUCACCACUCAGCGAUUCACAUUUUGGUGAAUCGAAUGAGGACGCCGGUUGGACAUGUGAUUUGUGUACAUUCCAGAAUAAGUAUACGCAACGAUCGUGCGAAGCGUGUACGAUGCCAUUCUUAUCAGCCGGUAAUCAAAUGGGUUAUAAUAACGGAACAUUUGUGCAGCCAUCGCCACCAUAUCCACUGACACACUAUAUGCCAAUGCCAAUACAUUCGUUGCCUUAUCAUAAUAAUAACAUUAAUAAUAAUAACAUGCCUUACUUAUAUUAUCAACCGGCAUCAAUGCCACCGAUACCCCCGCAAUUCUAUUCAACGCCAUCACUGGCCGAUUCACAAUCCAUGCACUCGCGAUUCUGAUGAAACUGCGACCGCAUCGUUUGUUCUUUUUUAUUUUGCCUCUAAAUAUCGUUUUAACUGGAAUAUGUCGUUUUCGGAUUUGUUCGCGUUGCAGCCGAGGGAAGAGACGAUGGAAUUGGAGGGAAAAGAGCAAGAAGGAGACGAUGGAGUUGAAGGAAAAAGAGGAAGAUGGAAUUGCAUUGUGGAAAGAGACAUCGUUCGACCGAUACAAAAUCGAUGGCCGCCUAACGUGUAUUCGUGUCAUUGACCAUCCACGACAAAUUUUCCCCACACACAAACCCUCGCUGUUUUUGUUUUUGUUUUAACUGGAUAAUGUUCCCUCACUUUUUGUUCUGAACAAUUAAUAACCGUGAAAGCUUUAACUCUCCGCUUGCACCACAAACAAACACAAACCAAAAUCCAUUUAACCGUUGUUUGAUUUUGAAACUGCGCUUGCAAAAUGCCACACAUUGAUUCUCUGAAUGGAAUUCGUUAACAGUGAUGUCAGCGAACGGUGAAGAUAUUCACAUUCAUUUGUUUCCUGGUCAAAAUAGUGUAAUACAUUCGUGGGUUGUUUCCUGAAAAAUUAACCAAAUCGUGCCAACGAAAUAGAGCGAGAUUAAGUGAAAAACAGAGGAGAAAUCAGGUGAAAGAAAGAAGAAAUCAGGUCGAAGGAAGGAAAAAAAAAGACGGUCACAACUCUUUCACUCUAGACGUCCGAAAAGAGUGUAAAGAGAUAGACAGGAUGGAAGAAUAGAAGAGCCAACGAGCAUAAAAACAUCAAGACAGUAAAACAUCGAUAGAGGACGGCCAUCGAAUCACGCGCGAAUGUGUGCAAAUGAUACGCUUAAUUGUUGAGAGAACAGAGGAGAGAAAAAAUACACUUAAAAACCAACAAAUAGGGAUCUUAGGAAUCUAAACCAAAUUGUUAUAUCUAUAUCUAUAUUUAUAUUAUUAAUAUAUAAAGAAACACUUUUGGAAAUGAUUAUUUAUAAAAUAGGACAUUUUACGGUUUUCCAUCGGUUUUUACUUACGAAUCGAUAAACAGUUGAAUUGAAAACUAUAGACAAGUUGCAAGCAUGAAAUUAUUGUCAGUCCGUUCAACGGCCAAUACACAUAGAUUUUCACGAAUUUAUUGUUUUUUUUUUCUUGUGAAUAGUCCAAAUCGAUCGUGAAUCAUUUUUAUGCUAUUAAGAAAGAAAAUAAAGUCAAAGUUUUAUCAAAAUGAAA